UACAGAGGUCCCAAGCGUUGUUCGGAUUCACUGGGCGUAAAGGGUGCGUAGGCGGUCGGGUAAGUCUGAUGUGAAAUCUCACAGCUUAACUGUGAAACUGCAUUGGAUACUCUCCGGCUAGAGGAAUGGAGGGGAGACUGGAAUACUUGGUGUAGCAGUGAAAUGCGUAGAUAUCAAGUGGAACACCAGUGGCGAAGGCGAGUCUCUGGACAUUUCCUGACGCUGAGGCACGAAAGCUAGGGUAGCGAACGGG
rnacentral:rRNA from 1 species